rnacentral:rRNA from 1 species
GACAUCCCUCGACAACCCGAGAGAUCGGGCGGUUCCCCCGUUCGGGGGACUAGGGUGACAGGUGGUGUCAUGGUUGUCGUCAGCUCGUGUCGUGAGAUGUUGGUUAAGUCCCGCAACGAGCGCAACCCUCGACCUUAGUUGCCAGCAUUCAGUUGGGCACUCUAAGGUGAACUGCCGGCUAAAAGUCGGAGGAAGGUGGGGAUGACGUCAAAUCAUCAUGCCCCUUAUGACCUGGGCUACACACGUGCUACAAUGGGCGGUACAAAGGGUCGCGAACCCGCGAGGGGGAGCCAAUCCCAAAAAGCCGCUCUCAGUUCGGAUUGCAGGCUGCAACUCGCCUGCAUGAAGCCGGAAUCGCUAGUAAUCGCGGAUCAGCAUGCCGCGGUGAAUACGUUCCCGGGUCUU